rnacentral:rRNA from 1 species
GAGUUUGAUCGUGGCUCAGAUUGAACGCUGGCGGAAUGCUUUACACAUGCAAGUCGAGCGGCAGCGCGGGGCAACCUGGCGGCGAGCGGCGAACGGGUGAGUAAUGCAUCGGAACAUGUCCAAGUCGUGGGGGAUAGCCCGGCGAAAGCCGGAUUAAUACCGCAUGUGCCCGAGAGGGGAAAGUGGGGGACCGCAAGGCCUCACGCGAUUGGGUUGGCCGAUGUCCGAUUAGCUAGUUGGCGGGGUAAGAGCCCACCAAGGCGAUGAUCGGUAGCUGGUCUGAGAGGAUGAUCAGCCACACUGGGACUGAGACACGGCCCAGACUCCUACGGGAGGCAGCAGUGGGGAAUUUUGGACAAUGGGGGCAACCCUGAUCCAGCCAUUCCGCGUGAGUGAAGAAGGCC